rnacentral:rRNA from 1 species
GACGAACGCUGGCGGCGUGCCUAACACAUGCAAGUCGAACGGGGUAAGAAGCUUCGGUUUCUUACUUAGUGGCGAACGGGUGAGUAACGCGUGAGAAACCUGCCUUUCAGUGGGGGACAACAGUUGGAAACGACUGCUAAUACCGCAUAAUGUUAUUUGAGGGCAUCCUCUGAUAACCAAAGAUUUAUUGCUGAAAGAUGGUCUCGCGUCUGAUUAGCUAGAUGGCGGGGUAACGGCCCACCAUGGCGACGAUCAGUAGCCGGUCUGAGAGGAUGAACGGCCACAUUGGGACUGAGAUACGGCCCAGACUCCUACGGGAGGCAGCAGUGGGGAAUAUUGGGCAAUGGGGGAAACCCUGACCCAGCAACGCCGCGUGAAGGAAGAAGGCCUUCGGGUUGUAAACUUCUUUUACCAGGGACGAACAAAUGACGGUACCUGGAGAAAAAGCAACGGCUAACUACGUGCCAGCCGCCGCCGUAAAAC